UGUUCUGGGCCGCACGCGCGCUACACUGACAGAGCCAACGAGUUCAUUUCCUUAGCCGAAAGGUUUGGGUAAUCUUGUUAAACUCUGUCGUGCUGGGGAUAGAGCAUUGCAAUUAUUGCUCUUCAACGAGGAAUGCCUAGUAAGCGCAAGUCAUCAGCUUGCGUUGAUUACGUCCCUGCCCUUUGUACACACCGCCCGUCG
rnacentral:rRNA from 1 species